CGCUGGGAUCGUCGGGAGCAUCCAGCCCCUACCUGACGAGUGUUUCCUAUCACGGCGGACGCGUCUCUGCCUCCUCGUCCACGCCGCCUCCUUCGACCGCGCUGUCGCCAUCGGAUGUAUUAUUGCUGCAGAAAUUAGAGGAAGAAGGCUGGUUGAGCCUUGGGUCCAGAAAAGAGCUGGCAUCCAUAUGUUCUGAUCAUUUUGAGAAGCAUGAAGUUCAUGAAGCCUGUCACCCUCUCCAUCUGAAUCAAAUGUGAACUGUGUA